CGCGCUGCCCCGCCAUUGGAGUCCCGCGCUGGAGGCCCAAAAUUGGCCAAAGCCCGCGCAUAUCCAUCUCGGUAUAAAGAGGGAGACCCAAUUUACAGAGACUCCAGUACUCCGCCGCCGCCCCCAUUUGCCUCACUCCUCGCGACCUGACCAUCAGGAGCUCGUGCUCUCCAAACUCUGCUUCUCUCGCGCCAACCCUAGAUCCGCCCAAAUCUCCGUUCGCCGUUCCCAAGCGUGGGCCAGAGCAUCUUCCUCGCGUCACGGCGAUGUGGGCCCAGCACUAGCACCGCAGGAAGGGGCGUCAUGGUUGCGGGCACCGCCGCCGCGGUGCUCACGGCUGAGCUGUGGUCAGGACGUCCUAGCCACCUGUUUCUUCUCUCCUAGAGCCAACUGUGGAUCUGAGGAGCCGAGCAUCUGUUCCCUGUGAAGUGGCAUCAAGAUUGAUGGGAUUAAGGAACAAGUAGCACAAGACUACUCUAGGAACCUUGCUGAUCAGAUUCGAGGACCAUCAAACAAUACAAACCUUUCCUCUCCGACGACCUGCAGACCACUCUGUACAGAACAAGAGUAAUGUCAGACCAUGAUUGGAUGUAUCGUGGUUGGUCUCGUGGGCAUCCUCCCUCUGAUGAGUGGAUUGAAAAGACAAACAAUUUUUUAGAUCGUGCAUUCUCUAUGUCAAGUCUGAUGAUGAGGAAGGCGAGACAUGAUUAGGAAGCCAUUGAAGGUGAGGCUGAUGGCGAGGAAGCCGUUGAAAGAAACUGAUGAUCCAGUACGGUGAUCUUGGAACUGACAAAUGACGGGCUGCAUGUCCUGGAUGCAUGCUGACUUCUUUUGGUCUAUGUUGGUAGAGGCUAACAUAUAUAUAUGAUGUGUAGCUGAGCUUUUGCUAAUCUGGGUUGUGCUUUUGGGACACGACAUGUAGGCAUAUAGACAAUAUUGCCAUCUAGGUAGAUUAAAUUUAGGCAUAUUGCAUGUGAGGCUGACAUAUUUGCCUUACAUAUGCAAAAUGGAUUUGUUGUAAUGAACAAAUGGAUGCUGGAUAUGUGGUCUGUAUGUUGUAUGGUGCCUGUCCAAUCAUUAUUUUAAUCUGCA